AAAAAAAAAAAAAAAAAUUAGUAUUAGUAUUAAAAAAAAAAAAGAGUUAAAGUUGAAAUAUAAAAAUUAAAUUAUUUAAAUAAUUGUAUUAUUAAAUUAGUUUUUUUAUACAAUUAUUUAAAAUAGUUAAUUUUUAUAUUUAGAGAAAUAUAUUAAAAUGUAAAGAAUAAAUUAAGUUUAAAAUGAAUUUACAAAAUUAAUUUAUUUAUAUACAUUUUGUAAAUUUUUAAACUUAGUUUAUUUUUGCAUUUUAAUUAUAUUUUUAAAAAAUAAUUCUAAGUAUUUUUUUUUUUUUCUUAUGAAAAAAUAUAUUCCACUUAUUAUAAUGAUAAUUAAGUAUUAUAAAAUUUUAAGGAAAUUAAAAAUAAUUGUAUUAUAUUAUAAUUAUAAAUUAAUUUCUGUUUUCAUAUUUAAAUAAUAAAUAAACCUUAUUGAAUAAAAAUAAAAAUAUUAUCAUAUUUUAUAAAUAUUCUUUUUGUAUAAGAUAUUUAUGAAAAUGAAAAAAUUUAUUCAAAAUUUAAAAAUUUUUAUGUAUGUAUGACGAAGAAAGAAAACUAAUAUUAUUUUUUGUAUUUAUUUUUUAAUUAUUUACUUAUAAUAAACCAAAGUAUAAUUUCUUUUUUAAAUCUGAUAAAAUUUUUACUUAUUUUAAAAUAAUAGACCAUUUUAUAAAAAUUUUUGCUUCAUAUAGAGGUAAAAGUUUUUUUAAGAAGGAAAAAAAAUACUUUAAAAAUAAAAUAAUUAAAGUAU
rnacentral:sRNA from 1 species